UUAAAUUGAAGAGUUUGAUCAUGGCUCAGAUUGAACGCUGGCGGCAGGCCUAACACAUGCAAGUCGAACGGUAACAGGAAGCAGCUUGCUGCUUCGCUGACGAGUGGCGGACGGGUGAGUAAUGUCUGGGAAACUGCCUGAUGGAGGGGGAUAACUACUGGAAACGGUGGCUAAUACCGCAUAAUGUCGCAAGACCAAAGAGGGGGACCUUCGGGCCUCUUGCCAUCAGAUGUGCCCAGAUGGGAUUAGCUUGUUGGUGAGGUAACGGCUCACCAAGGCGACGAUCCCUAGCUGGUCUGAGAGGAUGACCAGCCACACUGGAACUGAGACACGGUCCAGACUCCUACGGGAGGCAGCAGUGGGGAAUAUUGCACAAUGGGCGCAAGCCUGAUGCAGCCAUGCCGCGUGUAUGAAGAAGGCCUUCGGGUUGUAAAGUACUUUCAGCGGGGAGGAAGGUGUUGUGGUUAAUAACCACAGCAAUUGACGUUACCCGCAGAAGAAGCACCGGCUAACUCCGUGCCAGCAGCCGCGGUAAUACGGAGGGUGCAAGCGUUAAUCGGAAUUACUGGGCGUAAAGCGCACGCAGGCGGUCUGUCAAGUCGGAUGUGAAAUCCCCGGGCUCAACCUGGGAACUGCAUUCGAAACUGGCAGGCUUGAGUCUUGUAGAGGGGGGUAGAAUUCCAGGUGUAGCGGUGAAAUGCGUAGAGAUCUGGAGGAAUACCGGUGGCGAAGGCGGCCCCCUGGACAAAGACUGACGCUCAGGUGCGAAAGCGUGGGGAGCAAACAGGAUUAGAUACCCUGGUAGUCCACGCCGUAAACGAUGUCUACUUGGAGGUUGUGCCCUUGAGGCGUGGCUUCCGGAGCUAACGCGUUAAGUAGACCGCCUGGGGAGUACGGCCGCAAGGUUAAAACUCAAAUGAAUUGACGGGGGCCCGCACAAGCGGUGGAGCAUGUGGUUUAAUUCGAUGCAACGCGAAGAACCUUACCUGGUCUUGACAUCCACAGAACUUUCCAGAGAUGGAUUGGUGCCUUCGGGAACUGUGAGACAGGUGCUGCAUGGCUGUCGUCAGCUCGUGUUGUGAAAUGUUGGGUUAAGUCCCGCAACGAGCGCAACCCUUAUCCUUUGUUGCCAGCGAUUCGGUCGGGAACUCAAAGGAGACUGCCAGUGAUAAACUGGAGGAAGGUGGGGAUGACGUCAAGUCAUCAUGGCCCUUACGACCAGGGCUACACACGUGCUACAAUGGCGCAUACAAAGAGAAGCGACCUCGCGAGAGCAAGCGGACCUCAUAAAGUGCGUCGUAGUCCGGAUUGGAGUCUGCAACUCGACUCCAUGAAGUCGGAAUCGCUAGUAAUCGUGGAUCAGAAUGCCACGGUGAAUACGUUCCCGGGCCUUGUACACACCGCCCGUCACACCAUGGGAGUGGGUUGCAAAAGAAGUAGGUAGCUUAACCUUCGGGAGGGCGCUUACCACUUUGUGAUUCAUGACUGGGGUGAAGUCGUAACAAGGUAACCGUAGGGGAACCUGCGGUUGGAUCACCUCCUUACCUUAAAGAAGC
rnacentral:rRNA from 2 species